GCAGCCCUGAUGCAGCGACGCCGCGUGAGGGAUGACGGCCUUCGGGUUGUAAACCUCUUUCCUUUNGAAGAAGCGAAAGUGACGGUACCUGCAGAAGAAGCGCCNNNUAACUACGUGCCAGCAGCCGCGGUAAUACGUAGGGCGCAAGCGUUAUCCGGAAUUAUUGGGCGUAAAGAGCUCGUAGGCGGUUUGUCGCGUCUGCCGUGAAAGUCCGGGGCUCAACUCCGGAUCUGCGGUGGGUACGGGCAGACUAGAGUGAUGUAGGGGAGACUGGAAUUCCUGGUGUAGCGGUGAAAUGCGCAGAUAUCAGGAGGAACACCGAUGGCGAAGGCAGGUCUCUGGGCAUUAACUGACGCUGAGGAGCGAAAGCAUGGGGAGCGAACAGGAUUAGAUACCCCUGGUAGA
rnacentral:rRNA from 1 species